UGAGAGUAAAUCGGAUCAAGAGCUUGCGGGGACCUUUUGUACAGUAGUUGGUGUUAUAUGAUGAUGAUAUUGGUGCGUCGAUCCUAAAAGCACGGAAGCUUGACAAAAGGGGGAGCCUGAAGAAAGAGACUACCAAGAGGGAGAGUAACUGAAGCUAAAGAUAGAUCCACGGGGAUUCUGUUCGAGAAAGAGAAAGACAAGACGCUACGAGAUUGACUGUGGCAAUAUCCAAGGGGGAGAUUGUUAGUGCAUUAAAUGUCUAUCGCCUCCGUCAAUCAAAAUCAUAGUAGAAACCGAAGAAUGCAAGACUUGAUGAUCUUACUAGUUAGUAAAGGCAAGGUGGCAAUUGUGUAAAUAAUGAGACUUCUCAUUAUAACCUUGUGCCUAUAAAUAGGAGCUUUAGUUGUAAAGUGUAAGACUUUUGCUCAUUUGGUGAUUUAGGAGAUUCAAGUCUAGAGAGAGAAAGUACUCUCUACGUGAUUCUUGUAUUGUACACGUCAUAUCUU
rnacentral:lncRNA from 1 species